rnacentral:rRNA from 1 species
AACGAACGCUGGCGGCAUGCCUAACACAUGCAAGUCGAACGAGACCUUCGGGUCUAGUGGCGCACGGGUGCGUAACGCGUGGGAACCUGCCCUUAGGUUCGGAAUAACUCCCCGAAAGGGGUGCUAAUACCGGAUAAUGUCUUCGGACCAAAGAUUUAUCGCCUUUGGAUGGGCCCGCGUUGGAUUAGCUAGUUGGUAGGGUAAAAGCCUACCAAGGCGACGAUCCAUAGCUGGUCUGAGAGGAUGAUCAGCCACACUGGGACUGAGACACGGCCCAGACUCCUACGGGAGGCAGCAAUGGGGAAUAUUGGACAAUGGGCGAAAGCAUGAUCCAGCAAUGCCGCGUGAGUGAUGAAGGCCUUAGGGUUGUAAAGCUCUUUUACCCGGGAUGAUAAUGACAGUACCGGGAGAAUAAGCUCCGGCUAACUCCGUG